rnacentral:rRNA from 1 species
UACGGAGGGGGCUAGCGUUGUUCGGAAUUACUGGGCGUAAAGCGCGCGUAGGCGGAUGUUCAAGUCGGGGGUGAAAUCCAGGGGCUCAACCCCGGAACUGCCUCCGAUACUGGACGUCUGGAGGACGGAAGAGGCGAGUGGAAUGCCGAGUGCAGGGGUGAAAUUCGUAGAUAUUCGGCGGAACGCCCGUGGCGAAGGCGGCUCGCUGGUCCGUUUCUGACGCUGAGGCGCGAAAGCGUGGGGAGCAAACAGG